rnacentral:rRNA from 1 species
GGUCUUGACAUCCUCUGACAACCCUAGAGAUAGGGCUUCUCCUUCGGGAGCAGAGUGACAGGUGGUGCAUGGUUGUCGUCAGCUCGUGUCGUGAGAUGUUGGGUUAAGUCCCGCAACGAGCGCAACCCUUGAUCUUAGUUGCCAUCAUUUAGUUGGGCACUUUAAGGUGACUGCCGGUGACAAACCGGAGGAAGGUGGGGAUGACGUCAAAUCAUCAUGCCCCUUAUGACGUGGGCUACACACGUGCUACAAUGGGCGGUACAAAGAGCUGCAAGACCGAGAGGUGGAGGUAAUCUCAUAAAACCGUUAUCAGUUCGGAUUGUAGGCUGCAACUCGCUUACAUGAAGCUGGAAUUGCUAGUAAUCGCGGAUCAGCAUGCCGCGGUGAAUAUGUUCCCGGGCGUUGUACACACCGCCAGUCACACCUCGAGAGUUUGUAACACCGGAAGUCGGUGGGGUAACCUUUUUGGAGCCAGCCGCCUAAGGUGGGACAGAUGAUUGGGGCGAAGUCGUAACAAGGUAGCC